rnacentral:lncRNA from 1 species
AAAAGUUAAAAGGUCGGGCUCGGGUUAGAAUUUGUGUCAAAAGGUGGGGUUAAAAUUCGUCCACCAGAGGGGCUUGGUGUUGCAGUCAGUAGUUCAGUACACAAGUCAAGGCAUUCAGGUGCAGAGUCUGCGGACUGCAGAACUGGGACGUUGCACGGUCUGCGUUUUAGUCAUGUCAGCGUCAGCGAACUUAAAAGUUAUGCAUCGUGAAGAUAGAAAGUCCCACUCCCAGUGAGUCGUCUGACCAUGUGUCCUGAAAGUGCUGGCCGUAUGCAGAAAUGCCGUCUCGUACUAGAAAGUAGAAACUUGAAUGGAAUGUGCAUCAUAUCUUGCCGAGUGGGUGUCUGAGAACGGAUAUGAUUGCUACUGCGGGGUCUGAAAGCUUACAUUAUAUACAUUUCAAUUCUAUGUGUUGUGGAUUUCUCUACAUUUUCUGAAGACUUUCACUGCAUGUUGGGAUGUUUUGUUAUUUGGAGAAGUACUUUUACUUUGAAGAGGAAAUGUGAAAAGGGCCAUGCAGCUUACUGUCUACUAUUGUGUUCACUUUUAUUGUUUUCUACUGAAUUCCAAAGCUUAAACAAUCUUUCUCCCUAACUCUUGAAAGGUAGAUUAAUUCAGGCUGUUGAAUGAUGGUGUUUGCUGCUCAAUGUGAAGAUGGUGAAAGGAGUGCUUGACUGGGAAUAAGCUGCGAUUGUCUCUGGUGUUGGUGAAUCUGCAUUCACUUUGCUUACAGUCUUCAGCUUUGUUGAACAUUAGCAUGGCUUGCUUUUCUUUCCUUCCGAGACGUUGUUGGAUAACGUUUACCUCAGUCAUUAUAACAUUAACAGUUCCUUCAAUUUACAUUUGGCAAUUCAAUCUGAUCAUGCGACCUGCCUUCCUAAAAUGUCGUGUCUUGCUGUAUGUUGCAUGUUUCGUCAAGAAGAUGAGUUAUUUUCUCACCAUUCGUUUAAGCUGAACCGAUAGUGAAGGUAAACCAAUUUAAAGUAACAGGUGAUUUCUUUUUCUCCACAGGUCGCUGCCGUGCCAUGAAGAUGGUCUUUGUGAGGGUCUACUAUGUUGCAAGACAAAUGUGUUGAACGGAGGGAAUCUGUUGAGUUUAGAGAUGCGUUUGACUUUUGCAGACAUCCACUCGCCGGGCCUGGGCCUGAACGUCCUACAUCCCUGGCUGAAGAGGGGUAGUAUUACUUGCAAUGUAACAGCAACAAAGACAUCUUGAAAAGAACUUGGCGAUAGUAUUAAGUGUCAAUAUGCUGCAUUCAUUUCAUGAAGCCGAUGUUAUCCAGAAGUGUUGCAGGGACACUUGAAGUUAGAUGCAAGAAAACCUCUAGAAAUGGAGUUGGUGGAAAUGAAAAGAGGUUUUGUUGCUGCCUGUUCAAACUUUUAUGCUGUAUCUGCUGAAAUCCUUGAAGUAGCUGAUGCUGAUAUUAUUCUACAUUUGGAUUCCCAGUGCAAUUUUGGUUUUCUACUAAAAUAUUUUGUUUUAUUUGUUUUCUUCUGUAUAGUAUAUAAUUUAAACCAUUUGAUAUUUUGGUUUUCAAUGUAGUAUGUUGCAGCUUAAGUUCAUUGUGCGGUUGUCUUCGUUGUCUUAAAGCAAUGUUUCAUUUACUUCAUACUUGAAACCUAAACCUGAAAUCACUUGUUUAAUUUUGUAUACUUAAUUGCUGUUUCAUUAAAUCAUGUAUGAAUUCAUUAAACAUACGUUCAAAUUCGAAA